rnacentral:rRNA from 1 species
CCUACGGGAGGCUGCAGUGGGGAAUAUUGCACAAUGGGCGCAAGCCUGAUGCAGCCAUGCCGCGUGUGUGAAGAAGGCCUUCGGGUUGUAAAGCACUUUCAGCGGGGAGGAAGGCGGUGAGGUUAAUAACCUCAUCGAUUGACGUUACCCGCAGAAGAAGCACCGGCUAACUCCGUGCCAGCAGCCGCGGUAAUACGGAGGGUGCAAGCGUUAAUCGGAAUUACUGGGCGUAAAGCGCACGCAGGCGGUCUAUCAAGUCGGAUGUGAAAUCCCCGGGCUCAACCUGGGAACUGCAUUCGAAACUGGCAGGCUAGAGUCUUGUAGAGGGGGGUAGAAUUCCAGGUGUAGCGGUGAAAUGCGUAGAGAUCUGGAGGAAUACCGGUGGCGAAGGCGGCCCCCUGGACAAAGACUGACGCUCAGGUGCGAAAGCGUGGGGAGCAAACAGGAUUAGAUACCCGUGUAGUC